rnacentral:rRNA from 1 species
GACAGAGGUGCCGAGCGUUAGGCGGAAUCACUGGGCUUAAAGCGUGUGUAGGCGGGCCGUUAAGUGCCUUGUGAAAUCCCCCGGCUCAACCGGGGAACGGCUGGGCAUACUGGCGGCCUUGAGUCACCCAGGGGUCAGCGGAACAAACGGUGGAGCGGUGAAAUGCGUAGAUAUCGUUGGAACGCCGACGGCGAAAGCAGCUGACUGGGGGUGAUCGUGACGCUGGAGACACGAAAGCCAGGGGAGCGAACGGG